rnacentral:lncRNA from 1 species
CAGCCAGGUCUGAAACAGUGAUUCCAUCACAAUGCCCCGAAUGGGACCCCAAUGACAAUAAUGGUAGGAGGAGGCUGGGGACCUACCACCAGCACUUAUUAGGGGGACUCCAGACAGCGGCCAAAAAGCCCACUAAUUUGAGUAAGUCUCUUCAAGCCUUACAGAUUCUUCAGAGUGAGAUCUGGACUACAAAACAACAUGCUCAGAAAAAAAAAAAAAAAAAAAAAAACCUUUGUGACGUUCCAGCCUCACAGUUUCAAGCCAGAAGACCAGGUUCUGAUAAGCUUGCUUUGCUUGCACCAAGGACUUGACUAAAUACAUUCCCAAAUCAGUUUUGGCUACCCGAUCUGCCACUUUAUUUUGUGUCACCAUCAAUCGACUGGGAACCCCUGCCAACUAGAGGCCUCUCUUUCCAUGCGGUGCCCUCGACGACGGGUCCCCUUAAAGUCUGGAUCUCCUCUCUCAGGAAGAAAGCAGUUCCACUUAAGUCACCAGCUC